CAGUCGCCGCGGUAACACAGAGGGUGCGAGCGUUAAUCGGAUUUACUGGGCGUAAAGCGUGCGUAGGCGGCUUCUUAAGUCGGAUGUGAAAUCCCUGAGCUUAACUUAGGAAUUGCAUUCGAUACUGGGAAGCUAGAGUAUGGGAGAGGAUGGUAGAAUUCCAGGUGUAGCGGUGAAAUGCGUAGAGAUCUGGAGGAAUACCGAUGGCGAAGGCAGCCAUCUGGCCUAAUACUGACGCUGAGGUACGAAAGCAUGGGGAGCAAACAGGAUUAGAUACCCCGGUAGUCCCUGUCUCUUAUAC
rnacentral:rRNA from 1 species